AGCAGCCGCGGUAAUUCCAGCUCCAAUAGCGUAUAUUAAAGUUGUUGCAGUUAAAAAGCUCGUAGUUGAACUUCGGGGUUCACCCAUUGGUCAGGCUUAAUUGUCUGUACUGGUGAGAUGAGUCUCUACCUUCUGAGGAACUUUCAUGCCAUUUAUUUGGUGUGAUGGGAAAUCAGGACUGUUACUUUGAAAAAAUUAGAGUGUUUAAAGCAGGCUAACGUCUGAAUACAUUAGCAUGGAAUAAUGAAAUAGGACGGAUUGAUUCUAUUUCGUUGGUUUCUAGGGUCACCGUAAUGAUUAAUAGGGAUAGUUGGGGGCAUUAGUAUUCAAUUGUCAGAGGUGAAAUUCUUGGAUUUAUUGAAGACUAACUACUGCGAAAGCAUUUGCCAAGGAUGUUUUCAUUAAUCAAGAACGAAAGUUAGGGGAUCGAAGACGAUCAGAUACCGUCGUAGUCUUAACC
rnacentral:misc_RNA from 1 species